GGGCUCUGGUCCAAGUGGGCUUGGCCCAUGUGUCAGGAACACACCAAUGGCAUUUUGCACGAAGCAACAGUUGUUUAUAUGUAAAUACCAAGAAAUGUGUUUCCAUUAGGACCUAAUUCUUUCCUUUAAUGAAAACAAUAUCACACUAUUUGAAGCACGCAUGUAGGAAGAAUAAUCCAUGAUGAUCUCGGCAUAUGCGCAUAGAGUAUUUUCCCAUAAAUUAUUUAUAUCCUAGCUAAAAAGGGUAAAGGGAUUAUCUUAAAAACAAAGAAGGAUAAAAUGUGUUGGAACUUCAUGGAGGCUAAUUAAGCACUCUCAAAAGCAGCUCGUGGCUAAUAAAGCAAACGAUAAGAUGAGUAUUGAAACUACUCUAGGAUAAUUAAGCAAAAGGUGAUCGAUCCAUACAUCAAUACAUAGUAGCUAGGUGCACAAGCAUCUUCAACAAUCUUUCUUGACGCAGUGAUCGUCGCAGGCGCUGAUGCAAGAUGUCGCGCACUGUUCGGCAGCCCCGUACCUGCAAGCGUUGCAUCUCAUCAUAUCGCUCGCAUGCAUGCUGCAGGGCCACGCGCAGUUGUUUUGGACGGCGGCGCUGCAGUUGUCACAGCUGCAGGUCGCGCAGUCGCCGCUGAUGCAGUCGCUAGGGCAGCAGGAGGAAAUGGUGCUGGUGUCGUUGCUACUGCUGCAGAAGCUCUGGCAGCACCCCCGGAGGACCUGGGACUUGCAGCCCUCGCAUUGGCCCACCGGGGGGCUGCAGUCGACGGCGCACGCUGCGGCAACGACGGCACUGCAGUUGGUGUUGCAAAGCGACGGACAGUCGCUGCACAAUGGCUUCUUACUCGGAUGCCCUUGGGAAGACAUGACCAGCACAGCGAGAACGGCAAUGGCCGCCGCUGCCCUAAAACCUGCUGCACCUGAAACCAUUGCUGUGGAUGGAUGAAGCUUAAGCUUUGCUAUAGAGAGGAAGAUAUGUGUAGAGCAAGAGAAUAUCACAAAACGUAAGAUGUGAAAAGGUUCGGUGCCUAUGGGAUGGUAUUUAUAGGCUAGCAAUGUAG
rnacentral:lncRNA from 1 species